rnacentral:tRNA from 1 species
GCUCAGUUGGUUAAGCAUCUGACGUUUGAUUUUGGCUCAGGUCAUGAUCUAAUGGUUUGUGAGUUCGAGCCCCACAUUGAGCU